UUGGUUAAGUUAGAAAGGGCGCACGGUGGAUGCCUUGGCACUAGGAGCCGAAGAAGGACGGGACUAACACCGAUAUGCUUUGGGGAGCUGUACGUAAGCGUUGAUCCAGAGAUUUCCGAAUGGGGGAACCCACUAUCUUUAGUCGGAUAGUAUCCUUACGUGAAUACAUAGCGUGAGGAAGGCAGACCCAGGGAACUGAAACAUCUAAGUACCUGGAGGAAGAGAAAGAAAAAUCGAUUUCCUGAGUAGCGGCGAGCGAAACGGAAAGAGCCCAAACCAAGAAGCUUGCUUCUUGGGGUUGUAGGACACUCUAUACGGAGUUACAAAAGAAAGUUAUAAAUGAAGCGGUCUGGAAAGGCCCGCCAAAGACGGUAACAGCCCGGUAGUUGAAAUGGCUUUCCCUCCAGAGUGGAUCCUGAGUACGGCGGAACACGUGAAAUUCCGUCGGAAUCCGGGAGGACCAUCUCCCAAGGCUAAAUACUCCCUAGUGACCGAUAGUGAACCAGUACCGUGAGGGAAAGGUGAAAAGCACCCCGGAAGGGGAGUGAAACAGUUCCUGAAACCGUGUGCCUACAAGUAGUUAGAGCCCGUUAAUGGGUGAUAGCGUGCCUUUUGUAGAAUGAACCGGCGAGUUACGAUUUGUUGCAAGGUUAAGCGGAAAAAGCGGAGCCGUAGCGAAAGCGAGUCUGAAUAGGGCGCAUAAGUAACAGGUCGUAGACCCGAAACCAGGUGAUCUACCCAUGUCCAGGAUGAAGGUAAGGUAAUACUUACUGGAGGUCCGAACCCACGCACGUUGAAAAGUGCGGGGAUGAGGUGUGGGUAGCGGAGAAAUUCCAAUCGAACUUGGAGAUAGCUGGUUCUCUCCGAAAUAGCUUUAGGGCUAGCCUCGAGGUAAAGAGUCAUGGAGGUAGAGCACUGUUUGGACUAGGGGCCCUUCUCGGGUUACCGAAUUCAGAUAAACUCCGAAUGCCAUGUACUUAUACUCGGGAGUCAGACUGCGAGUGAUAAGAUCCGUAGUCGAAAGGGAAACAGCCCAGACCACCAGUUAAGGUCCCCAAAUAUAUGUUAAGUGGAAAAGGAUGUGGGGUUGCUUAGACAACCAGGAUGUUGGCUUAGAAGCAGCCACCAUUGAAAGAGUGCGUAAUAGCUCACUGGUCGAGUGACCCCGCGCCGAAAAUGUACCGGGGCUAAACAUAUUACCGAAACUGUGGAUGAACCUCUUUAGAGGUUCGUGGUAGGAGAGCGUUCUAAGGGCGGUGAAGUCAGACCGGAAGGACUGGUGGAGCGCUUAGAAGUGAGAAUGCCGGUAUGAGUAGCGAAAGAAGGGUGAGAAUCCCUUCCACCGAAUAUCUAAGGUUUCCUGAGGAAGGCUCGUCCGCUCAGGGUUAGUCGGGACCUAAGCCGAGGCCGAUAGGCGUAGGCGAUGGACAACAGGUAGAGAUUCCUGUACCAGUGCUAAUUGUUUAACCGAUGGGGUGACACAGAAGGAUAGGGAAUCGCACGAAUGGAAAUGUGCGUCCAAGCAGUGAGUGUGAGAAGUAGGCAAAUCCGCUUCUCGCGAAG
rnacentral:rRNA from 1 species